AGAGAUAAAGGGAUUAAAAACAGUAUGUUGACAACUGUUUACAAGAAAGUGGAGAAAAAUGUACAUACAUUUUUGUAUGUUUAGAUAUACCAUAAAUACUCAGGAUUGGAGCUGCUUGUAAGUAUAACAAAAUACACAUAACUUUAUUUUAUCUUGUCAGAGUCCAUCAAUUAUCCAAACAGAUGGCACUUUGUCUUGUUAAUCUUAAAACUGUAGGCCUUAUUGGAAGCCACUUAGAAGGGACACUUUGCCAGAGGAGGUAUCUGGUACCACGUAGGGUCAUCACUGGGCGGUAUUGCCAGUGAGGCAGAAAAUCAGGUAGGCCUCUACGUACUGACUAUGGCCAGAUCUUUGAAAUGUCCCUAAUUUUCUGAAGGAAAAAGGAAUUAAAAUAAAAGUUUACAUAAUCUCUUGAUGUGAAGUGCAUUUAAAUGUUUAUUGGCUUGAUGCAGUAAAAUAGAAACAGAGCUGUUAAUAAUGGUUAUGUAGAUUUAAUGUGACUGAACUGCAGAAAGUGUACUUGUGUAUGAUGCCGUAUUUCUUUUACAGGUGAAUACAAUCUUCACAGUAAAUAAGAAUAAAACUAUUGAUAUCCCAAGUUUAUAUUCCGACAAUAAAAUAGUUAUCAUUGAUUUCUGUGCAUUGUACUUGUUAUUAGUUACCAAAUUGGAAGAUACUUAUUCUGUUUUUUCAGCUCUGUUGGGGAAAAAAAUAAUCAGUCUCCCAAGUGAAACCACUAGCAUACAUUUUUAUCUGCUUGCAAGUGUCAGUGUUAUGGCUUGUGUGCUCUUUCCACAGUGUUUUGCUCUUCAAAAGGAAUUGACAGGUGCGAAUAUUCUCAUGUUCUCAAAGCCAAUACUAUAGCUCAGCCUAGAUAAGUGAACUGACUUUUGGGUUGUUACUUAAAACUACUCAUAAGCUAUGAAGUACCUCAACACAAACUCAGUAUAUGGUAGCAACAGCCAGUUUGUAAUGAUUUAUUUUAAUUUAGAAAUGAUCAUGUUGUGAAAUAUGCUUUUGCUAAGCCACCUCAUUCACUUACUGCUUGUGUAAUUAUGCAUGUCUCAGACACUACAUCUGAAGCAUAGCCCUUUCAGUUGUGUUACUGCAGCGUGCUUUAAAUGAUCAACCUGUUCAGUAUCUACCCAUUUGGUAGUUGCUGUAUUAGGUAACUACAGGCAUAUCAAUUACUAUGUAAUACUCCGUUUCCAGUAAUGCAAACACUUGUAAUUACUUGAAUAAGUUUUAUUUGAACUAUGGAUGCUGUUUUUAUGCUUAAGGGAUAUUUAAAUGGAAACCCAAUAGUAUCUUCUCUGCUAAAUCUAAGCUUAAAUCUUGGCCCAUGUAGAAAAUGCAAAGCUAUAUGAUGUGUACCAACUUGGUUAUUUUUCUACAUUCAGAAUGUAUUUAAACUCUUUGUUACAUAUCUGCAUUGUUGAGUACUUUCUAUCCUUUUAUAGUCUGUUUCCUUUUCAUCUCAGCUCUACUAUUAGAUCUAUAACAAAUGUAAUCCGUGUUAUGUACUGUCCUAGACAACAGUUUGGGCAGAUGAAUGGAAGAGCAGUAAAUUGUCUUAAUUAGUCUUCAAAGCACUACACUAAUUUUUUUCAAGUCUGUUUCAAUAGUUGUGCCAAGAAAUGCGUCGUAUACAGCCACUUUGGAUAAGCAAUACAUUGUACUGUAUGUAUAGCAAUUACUGUCAUUAGUUUGAGUUAAAUGUCUGGAUGAUAACUAGUGCCUGUCUAAUACAAAUUGGAAAAGAGCAUAGGUCUUCAUCUUAAGGUGCUGAUUCAAAAGAACUUUCCUACUUGGAUUCUAGGAAAUUGUGAAUUCUUGUGGACAAAAUGUUGCUAUGCUACAUUGAGAUCCAAACUGAUUUUUGGUUUCUCUGUUUUAAAAAAAAAAGUCCAUAAAAUUAAUUGGUUUUGGAUUUCAAUGUAACUGUAAAUAUGUGAAACUGUAUUUGUCUUUGUGUUUGAAACUAAAUUUGGUGUGGUGGUAGUGAAGGAUGAGAGGGAGGGAGGGAGAGUGUAUGCAACAGGAUGCCACUAAUGUUCCCUGGCUGUAGCCCACUGCACAGCAGUGAGUGGUGUGGAUUUCAGCCUGGGUAAAUUGUUUGAAAUAAGUGAAAAUUAAUGGGAUCAGCAUCAGCCUCACAAGUGAAUGACUGAAUAAAUGCAAUAAAAGGCUAAUUGACAACGCUAUUAUUCUGUUCCUCACUGAUUACAGGGUUUUUGUUGUUGUUGUAAAUUUGAGUAUAUGCAUUCUGUAACUUGUAAAAUGAAGUAUUAGUGGAGACCUUGCUACAACACUAUUGAAAAUCUUCCCUUUUUGUGAGAUAGGAGGUUUAGAGAAUAGUGAGAUUCUUUUGUGUGUUGAAUCUUAGUUCUGUUCCUAAUGGUGAAAGUGCUGAAAUUAUGUAUCUCACUGUGAUCUGGUACUUCGGUAUUUGCAUAAACCGGCAGUCCUGUAUAUUCUUUUGGCAAACUGUAAAUAUAAAUGUUUCAUAUUAGCAUAGCUGAAUUUUUGAGGUACAGACAUUUGUGUGAGAUUAGAGAACUUUAUUUCUAAGAACUUGUAAAAAAAAAAAAAUAUUUUCAAUAAAAUUCCCUACCUCACCUCUAUUGUGCAGAAAUUAUCCCAUUUCCUAUGUUAAAUUUUCCAACUUCACUUGUAGAUGCAGACGUUUUAUGGCAUCUGAAGAGAUGCAUUUAUCUGUUCCCACACUCUGCCUGUGUGUAAUUUAAUUGUAAAGGGAUUAGCCGUGAUUGAUACUGCUUUGGUUUUUUG
rnacentral:lncRNA from 1 species